GGACUUUUGCCAUCAUUUGAGCCACAUCAUAUUUCAUUGACUGAGCUAUUAUUUCCCUCUGGUUUACAGACGGGGAAACCAAGAUGCUACGUGACUUGCUCAAGAUCACACAGGUAGUAAGAGACAGAACCAGGAUUUGUACCCAUGUAAUCUGACUCUGAAGUGCAUGUUCCAAUCACUACACAUGCUGCUCUCGGUGAACAGUGACUCUUACUAUGAAACAGGAGGCAAAAUGAGCUUGCUGCCAUGAGGAUAGAGCCCAGGAUGUUGUCCUGUGUGUUGUAGAGUGAUGUAUCCUCUUCUACCUCAACGACCACUAGGUUCCUGUAGGCAAAUUAGGAGUGAUUGAGCCAUGAGGAAUAAAUCCAGCCACUCCACUGCUUUUGCUGACUGAUACUCAAGUUCUUUUGUAGAAACUUGAAAUUCCACAAUAUCAGUAGGGAAGAAUAAGAGGUUACUUUUAGUUCCCCAGGCAGUGUGCCAAAGGUUGAGAUGCUCUUUAAAAAAUUUUAAAGAGUUGCCCUUUCUGACCGUGACAAAUCUCAUCCCAUAAAUGUCAGAUAAGUUGCUCUGCCACACAGCAGGUGGUCUGUCCCCAACUCCCUGUUAGUGCUGGGCCCUGGCAAAGUCAGGAGGUUGUGCGGUGGGUUCUACAGAGGGCCCUGUCCAGACAUGGAUGCCCUGGGGCUUGGGAGAGGGCUUCCAGAAUGUGGGGCAGGAGGUAGUGCUGAAGGACAGCUUCAAAUUCUGGGAAUACUUGGAAGAGUGAAAAGGCAAGUCUAUUUUCAUAUGGUUGAAGACAGCCCUACCCUCUAAGACCAUUUGCAGAUGUGAGUCUAGCAGUUUCUAUGAAAUGUCUUUGUCCCCAACUGGCAGAAUCUAGAAAAACCUCGUGGGGUUGGAAUGACCCAAUUUGCUGACUCCAAAGCCAGGCUUUGGUCAUCAUGCAGGCAAUUCUGUCUUCAUGCGGUUGCAUGCAGGUGAGGCUGGAGCAGACAGCAUGUUCUGGAACACCUUAAUGAUGUCAGGACGCUUUUCAUUGCUCAUCUAUCACGUAACAGCUCAGAUUUGCAAUGUGCUACCUGCGUUCUCCCUUUAGCACAGACAAUGCGUUCUUUCAACAGUGUGCGGCUCCAUGGGAAAGGCUCUGCUGAAAGUGAAGUGGUGGGGUCCACAGCUGCCCCUCUGGGAAGGAGUGGUAUGGGGGCAGGUGGGGACCAGAUGCCUGGCCACAGCCGAGCUGGGGAUGAGCACAUGGAACAACCGCUUCUGGUUACACUUACUCGUUUCUCUGUGCUGAAAGGUGUCAUAUAAAUGCUAAGAACAGAGAGAGAUGGGGCCUAUUUAUUUGCAUUUUGUCUAAUGUGAGCAGAUGCAGAUAGAAAAGAGGCUUAGCCACAGCCGUUCACCUGCCCCGCUAGGCCUUCCAUCUUCAGUUCAUUUCAAUGCCUCCCGCGUCAGUUCCGCUCCAGUGCUGCAGCAGACAUGGCAUGGGGUGCAAAAGGGGCACAUGCCCUCUGUCUUCAGUGGGUUUGCAAAACUUGUGAAAGAGACAGGUUUAACCACAGGAACCAUCUGAGGACAAUACAACCCAGCAUAUGGCUCAGUGGUAAGUCAUGGGGAACAAUUGAAAUGCUGGAGGAGGUUGUGGAAGAGAGGACCACGCGUGGAUGGGCAGGAAGGCUUCUUAGGGGAAAUGAACUGGACUUGCCCUGUGAAGCUGGCCAGCAGGUAGGUGGGCAAAGAUGGUGAGCAUCGAUUGUCUACGCCCUUUGCCAGACCCUCACAUCUGCUAUUCUACUGACAUACUCCCCUCCUCUCUUUCAGUGGUUGGGUCUCCCUUAUCAAUUAGGACUUGGCUUAAAAGACUUCCACGAGGCUUUCCUCAACUGUUCUAAGUAGCAGUGCUCUGCACUGCAUUAUUCUCUAUCACAGUAUUCUGUUUUUUCCUCCCUCAAUGUAAUACAAUGUAUAAUUAGAUGUUUGCUUGUUUCAGUCUUCCCCAUUGCAUUUCAGCCACCACACAGUCAGGGGCCAUAUGUCUGCUUCAUUCACUUUUAUAUUCACAGACAUGCACAAUGCCUGGAGCCUAAGAGGUGCUCAGUAAAUACUUGCUGAAUGAAUGAGUGACCUUUGAGGAAAGCCUCAUUAGCAAAUAUAUUUCUUGGCCAGUUGAAUCCAAGCUCUUGUUUUAUAUUCCAGAAAGAAAACCUGCAGAUUCCAUUGAUCUGGCAUGGAGCUGGAUGUCUUUCAGGAUGAAGAGUUUUCAUUAAAACACAGCCACAACAAAGCAAGAAAAAAGAGCAAUUGAUGAAACCGUCAUAACGGCUGUGCCCCCAGCUUUCCCCUACCUCCUGUCUUCUGCCUCCUGAUCAUACCGGUGCUUCCCACGUGGCCCUGCAUGAUGUGGUGGUGAGACUUGCUCUUGGAUGCUGUCAGGAAGUAUCAUCUGACUGCGUUUGCUACCCUGGGGGAGACAAACAAAACUUGAGUGAAGGAAAAUGAGAACUCACCUGAAACCAAGAAGAGUCUUUGGAAAAGGAUUUUUGUGGACCUCAUCAAAUAACCAGGAAAGAUUAAUCACCUGAGAAGAGAAGAGACUGGGAAUCUUCACCCUGCCCAGACAGACUUUUCAUCUAUUCUCCUGAGAGCAGCUCCAAGAGAUUACCUGUGGGACUCAAUUUGCAUAAUAAGAUGACCUUUGUUCCUGUGCAGUUCCACCCCUCACCUUCCCAUAAUGUCUGCCUCCCACCUCCCAGGUGCAUUAUUUUUCCCUAAUUACUUACUGCUCCUUAAAAGAAAUGUCUACACUUCCCAUCUCCUUCCUCCCCUAUGGAAAAGGGCAUAUCACUUCUAUCAUUCUCCUGUGAUCCCCUGUGCUAUGCACAUUACAA
rnacentral:lncRNA from 1 species